rnacentral:lncRNA from 1 species
AUGGCUUCGGGGGAAUCGGAGCGUCCUUUCCCGAGCGCUCAGUACAGUGUUUCGGUACAAGUUCGGCGCUUAGCAAAUACCACCGCUCUGAUUCGUAUUCCUAAACCCUUCCCCGAGGGCUUCGGGGGAAAUUGGUGGGUCCUAUCCCGGGCGCUCAGUACAGCGCUCGGUACGUGGUCAGCGCCAAACAAAUACCAUCCUCCCCAUUCUUAUUCCCAAGCGCUUCGGGGGAAUGGGCAGGUCCUUUCCAGGGCGCUCAGUACGUGGUCAGCGCUUAACAAAUACCAUCCUCCUCAUUCUUAUUCCCAAGCGCCUCCCCGAGGGCUUCGGGAGAAAUUGGGGGCGUACUUUCCCGGGCGCUCAGUACAGCGCUCGGUACGUGGUGAGCGCUUAACCAAAUACCAUCCUCCUCAUCCUUAUUCCCAAGCGCUUCCCCGAGGGCUUCGGGGGGGAAGGGGCAGGUCCUUUCCCGGGCGCUCAGUACAGCGCUCGGUACGUGGUCAGCGCUCAACAAAGCCCCUCCUCCUCCUCCUUGCCAAGCGCUUCCCCCGAGGGCUUCGGGAGGGGAAAGGGCAGGGGAAGCGGGGGGAGGAGGGCGGGGCGGGGGGGGGGGUCCCGAGGCGGCCGGUAGCGCUCAAUAAAUAGGAGGGUCCCGAGGGGACGGCGGGGCGGCUACCGGCAGCCGCAGGACUCCACCACCAUGUCCUCGUACUGCUUGUAGACGACGUUGUUGCCGGCGUCGAUGUAGAGGAUGCUGAUGGGGGUGAGCUUGGUGGGGACGCAGCAGCUGGGCGGCGCGGCGGCGGGGUCCAUGGAGUGGAUGAGCGUCUGGAUGAUGGCGUGGUUGGUGGGCUCCAGGUGCGAGCGCAGCGGGAAGUCGCACAGCCCGUCGCAGUGAUAGGCCUCGUACUCCAGCGGGGCGAUGAUCCAAUCGUCCCAGCCCAGCUCCUUGAAGUUGACGUGCAGCGCCUUCCUGCCGCAGCGCAGCCGCGCCUUCUUGCCGUGCCGCUUGCCGUGCCGGACGCCGGGGGCCGUGCGGGGCCGCCGGGGACCCCGCCGAGGACCCCGCCGAGGACCCCGCCGAGGACGGGGGACCCCGAGCCGG